CAAUAGCGUAUAUUAAAGUUGUUGCAGUUAAAAGCUCGUAGUUGGAUUUCUGGUACAACGCGCCUGGCCCGCUUUUGUGAGUGCCGGUGCGCGUUUGCCAUCCUUCUAGAAAACGUCUCUACUCGGGCAACUGGGCCGGAUUCGCGAUCUAGAUCUUUUACUUUGAAAAAUUUAGAGUGUUUAAAGCAGGCUAUUGCCUUGAAUACAUUAGCAUGGAAUAAUAAUAUAGGACUUGGUUCUAUUUUAGUUGGUUUCUAGGACUAAAGUAAUGAUUGAUAGGGAUAGUUGGGGGUGCUAGUAUUCAGCGGCCAGAGGUGAAAUUCUUGGAUUCGCUGAAGAAUAACUUAUGCGAAAGCAUUCACCAAGGAUGUCUUCUUUAAUCAAGAACGAAAGUUGGGGAGUCGAAGACGAUUAGAUACCG
rnacentral:rRNA from 1 species